GUGUGCACACAUACAAUCUCAAAGCGCUGUGGUCAGAAAAGAUUCUUGAUAUGAUUUAAGUUUUCCUAAAUUUACUGAUGUUUGAUCUGUGACCCAAGAUGUGGUCUAUCCUGGAGAAUGUUCCAUGUGCACUUGAGAAGAAGGUGUAUUCUUCUGCAUUUGGAUGGAAUGUCCUGAAGAUAUGAA